AACGAACGCUGGCGGCAUGCUUUACACAUGCAAGUCGAACGGUAACAGGGUGCUUGCACCGCUGACGAGUGGCGAACGGGUGAGUAAUGCGUCGGAACGUGCCGAGUAGUGGGGGAUAACGCAGCGAAAGUUGUGCUAAUACCGCAUACGUACUGAGGUAGAAAGUGGGGGACCUUCGGGCCUCACGCUAUUCGAGCGGCCGACGUCUGAUUAGCUAGUAGGUGAGGUAAAGGCUCACCUAGGCGACGAUCAGUAGCGGGUCUGAGAGGAUGAUCCGCCACACUGGGACUGAGACACGGCCCAGACUCCUACGGGAGGCAGCAGUGGGGAAUUUUGGACAAUGGGCGAAAGCCUGAUCCAGCCAUGCCGCGUGUCUGAAGAAGGCCUUCGGGUUGUAAAGGACUUUUGUCAGGGAGGAAAUCCCUAGUGCUAAUAACACUGGGGGAUGACAGUACCUGAAGAAUAAGCACCGGCUAACUACGUGCCAGCAGCCGCAGUAA
rnacentral:rRNA from 1 species